AUACGGAGGGUGCGAGCGUUAAUCGGAAUUACUGGGCGUAAAGCGCGCGUAGGCGGUUUGUUAAGUCGGAUGUGAAAUCCCCGGGCUCAACCUGGGACCUGCAUCCGAUACUGGCAGGCUAGAGUCUGGUAGAGGGGGGUAGAAUUCCUGGUGUAGCGGUGAAAUGCGUAGAUAUCAGGAGGAAUACCAGUGGCGAAGGCGGCCCCCUGGACUGAGACUGACGCUGAGGUGCGAAAGCGUGGGGAGCAAACAGGAUUAGAUACCCCGGUAGUCC
rnacentral:rRNA from 1 species